rnacentral:lncRNA from 1 species
AGCUACUUGGGAGGCUGAGGCAGGAGAAUGGCGUGAACCUGGGAGGCGGAGCUUGCAGUGAGCCGAGAUCCCGUCACUGCACUCCAGCCUGGGCGACAGAGCGAGACUCCGUCUCAAAAAAAAAUAAAUAAAAAAAAUAAUUAGUUGCUCACUGCCUAACCAAUAAAUGUUAGUGUACUGGGCAGGGAAGGGAAAGAGAAGAAUUAGGUUGAUGUAAUUCAUUUAUUAUCUGGAAGCUCAAUAGGGAAUGUGACAUGAAUGAAUUUAAGCAAGUCUGGGCAUAUUGGGAGGCAAUUCUCCAUGUAUGUCUUGCAAAUAAAGGCAUUGGUGAUGAUCACUCUGUCUUUUCGAGGAUGUUGGUAGAGCAAACAGCUUUUGAAGAUAGAGAUGAUUUCUCUCUCUGAAGGAAAAGGUGUUUGUCUACUUUGCAGUCUAAUAAAUACAAUGUCUUCAUCUGGGGCAAACGUUGGGUUUCUUUUCUGCACCUCUAUUAAAAACUGGGGUUUUGCCAGCAAGGGGUUGCUCAUCUAUGAUGCAAACCCAUUGUGUGUGCUGUAUCCACCUGGGAAAAUAUGAAGAUAAGGAUGCUCAUUGUGCCUUCAGUAAUAAAGUCUUUUCUCUUUGAUCUAGGAGUCCAGUGUCUUCAGCCCAUCACGUUGAAGCUGUGGGGGCUAAUAUGUUAGCUUGCAAGUGGCUUAAUAUCUCAUAGUCUUCAUUCUUGAUAAAGCUUCCCUAGUUUCUCAUGGGAGAAGGGCCUACUGGGAUUAUGGAGUCAGAGAAAGUGAUGCACAGAGUUAGUCAUUGGAAGCUGCACACAUUCUAAAUCCAGCAAUCACUGUCCUGAGUGAACAUGAAGUUCUGCAAUUACUCAGUGAUCACAAAGGUCCUCAAAGCUAACACUACUCACGAAGAUGGUGUGAGUUACAUUGGCUGACAAGCUCCAGCCAUGGACGCAAUUCCUUCUAGAAGCAAAAUUUAUCUCUAGACUCCUCCUGUAUUUUAAUUUAGCCACUUUUUUAGGGCCUACAAUUUUAGAUCUCCACAGGGCUCUUGAAACUUCUUGAACCUCAUCAGUAACAUGUCCAUUAGUGGCAUGACCCAAGAGUUCUAGAACAUCUAUUCAGCAAGUGUGUAUCUGAAAACUGAUCACCUCUGAUGAAUUAGAACGGAAUGACCAAGCUUUGGGAGAGGCAAAAGAAUUUCGGUGUUAAAGACUCAGAGUUUAAGAAGCAACAAAAAGAUUAUACAGAUGUGAAUAUGUGACCUUCCUCCACCAGGGCAUGUUGCCUUGGAAAAAAAUUUGCCUGCUCUGCUCAGGACCAUCACUCUGCCUGCCUGGGGCGGAACUGGAUUUUUUCCCCUGGAUUCUUUUCUUGUUGGGAGUGAGUGCAAAGCCUUCCAUCUAUCCCUGGCUACAAGCUGAAAGGCUGGGCACAGUUAAAAGUUUCUACUUUGCUUCAGGGUGUAAAUCUGGGUCCAUACAGGUGCUCUCCGCUGUAUGGUAGGCUACUUGAGGGGCCAUGAGCUUUCUUCUCCAUUUUCUCAACUUUGGCCAGAAACACAGCCAGAAGAUUGUGUAGGAUCAUUUGCCUUGCAAUUCAACCAUACGUUGCCACAUAGCAGAGGCUCAAAAGAACGAUGAAGCUCAAAGAGUUUCAAGAUUCAAAGUCUUCCAGGUCAAUAUUCAAACACAGAAACAGGGUUUCGCUAUGUUGACCAGGCUGGUCUUAAACUUCUGGCUUCAAGUGAUCUGCCUUCCUCGGUCUCCCAAAGUGCUGCUGUUAACCACUGGAGGGUGUCCAGGUUCUUGGUGUCUUGAACAAAGAAUUGGACAAAACGCACAAACAAAGCAAGCAAAGAAUGAAGCAACAAAAGCAGAGAUUUAUUGAAAAUGAAAGUACACUCCACAGUGUGGGAGCAGGCCUCAGAAUACGGGCUCAAGGGCCCUGUUACAGAUUUUUUUUGGGGGUUUAAAUACCCUCUAGAUGUUUCCAUUGGUUACUUGGUGUACACCCUAUGUAAAUGAAGAGGAUGAAGUAAAGUUACAAAGUCAUGUAUUUGGCCUAUUCCCUACAUAAAUGGAGAGGAUAUUUCCUGUCAUAGCUGUAAUGUUUCCAUGUGAUUUAGUUCUAGGAAGUCCUUAUGUUCCCUGUCUCCAAACCCUAUUCUCAUGCCUCACUGGGAUUACAGGGGUGAGCCACCGAACCUGGCCACCUUUUGUGUAUUUCUAUGUGGGCAUUCUUAACACAAACCAAACAAAAGUCAGCGUUUCUUCUCUUGAAACGGUCUCUGCCUUGUGGCACUUCUCUCUCUCUUUCUGUCUCUGAAAUGCUAUUAUGAAUUUUUGUUAUCGGCACUACCAUUCUUCAGUCAACCAGAGGAUUCAGUAUUGACUUUGACAGAACUCUCCUUUCCAAUUGGUUUCAAAUUCUUAUGCAUUCUACCUUUGUUUCACUGAUUUUGAAAAUUAAACAUUUUCACUAAAUGCAA